GGGCGGCUAGCUCAGUUGGUUAGAGCACACGCUUCACAUGCGUGGGGUCAUAGGUUCAAGUCCUAUGCCGCCCA
rnacentral:tRNA from 4 species